UUAAAAAGAUUUGACUGGAAGCAGCGGUCCAGAUGUAGAGUUUUGGAAGUGUGGCAGAACAAAAUUGAGAACGUCUUUGAGAUCCAGCUUCCGCAAACCACUUUUCGCACUUUUUAAAAGCGAAAGUAAGGGAAUAAAACUGCUCAAAUCUUUGGAAAGCCACGCUGAAGAGAUACAAUCAACUUUAAUUUGGCUUGCGAUACAUUCAAUGUUGGUGCGACAGCAAUGACAAAAAAGGACGGCGGGAGCAUGAACGCGAAGAACACCAUUGCGGACCCGCGAAGCCGUUUCUUGGUUUGGAAGGCUACUGUUGGGGAACUGCAAACACAUCUAAAGGCAUUGACGGAAAAUUGCUAAUCCGGAAAGCCGAAACUGCAACCAUUCAGCUGCAACGUGGGAACAAGCC